rnacentral:rRNA from 1 species
CCUACGGGAGGCUGCAGUGGGGAAUAUUGCACAAUGGGGGAAACUCUGAUGCAGCAACGCCGCGUGAGUGAAGACGUAUUUCUGUAUGUAAAGCUCUUUCAGCAGGGAAGAAGAUGACGGUACCUGUAUAAGAAGCCCCGGAUAACUACGUGCCGGCACCAGCGGCAAUACGUAGGGGGCAAGCGUAAUCCGGAUUGACUGGGUGUAAAGGGGGCGCAGACGGCUGUGCAAGUCGGGAGUGAAAGCCCGGGGCCCAACCGCGGAAUUGGUCUUGAAACUGUGCGGCUAGAGUACUGGAGGGGCAGGCGGAAUUCGUGGUGUAGCGGUGAAAUGCGUAGAUAUUAGGAGGAACACCGGUUGCGAAGGCGGCCUGCUAGACAGUAACUGACGUUGAGGCUCGAAAGUGUGGGGAGCAAACAGGAUUAGAUACCCCGGUAGUC